AGUUGAAUGUGAACAGAGAAACCCUUGCGUGCCUCAGUCCGUCUCCUCCAGAUCCCCCAAACAGAAUGAUGAGAGACUGAACCUUGGAUCUUGUCUUGAAGUGGGCUGGUCUUGGCAUUCGACUUCUGUCCGUGUUUGUGGCUGCUGAGGCAGCACUCAAAUAAAUUGCUUCUGCUUGAAGGUACUUUAACAUGCAUAAACACACACACACGCAUUAUUAUACUAGAAUCGAAUGCAUUAUUUGUUGCAUGAUGUGUGACGAUUCUUAAUGCUUUAUGUGAAGAUACAGCAAUGCAAUAGUGACACCAAAGUAUUUCGUUUUCCAAAGAGUUUACAAUGAGCUACAUACGGAUAUGAUGGUGUGGGGUAGUUGUACAGGAAGCUCUGUCAUUGUACCUCGAGGCGAGCGGGAUUUCCUUGAGAAACAACUAUGAGGUCAUACAUGGGCCGUGCCGGACAAAGCACUCCAUAGGAACACGCUGUCCCCUUCGUCUGGACGUGGAAUACUUGACACGGUCCUCGAGACAUAGCCGCUUGACAUUACGCAAUGUCACACAAUGUAGAAUGACUAGGAAUGUUGCAAAGGAAAAGGUCUGUAAUGCUGGCACAUCACUGAACAGGAAAUUUUGACGUCGUUUUUCUUCAGUUCCUUGUUCGUCCGCUCUCUUCGGGGACUCAUUUUCAGACCAUUUUGUGUGACUGACUCCAAAGUGACUCAACCGUGUUGUGUUCAGUAAACAGCCUUCGGGCAAAGAACAGCAGGCCUAUCUUAGCCACAAAAGACUUUGAAUGAUGUGUCUUUUUCCAACUCUCCCUCAUCUCGACACAACAACCUGAUGGCUGGUUUCAUUUUGGGUUUAUAAUAGCAUCGCAAAGAUUUUUCCUGCUUGUUCAAUUUACUUAACUUGCUUAAGUUAAAUCAAUACAACUUUUGAAUGUUAAGUCAUAUAACACAUAAAGUCGGGACAACAUAAAGGGGUUGUUUUGUCUUAACAUUAAACAGUUAUAACUGGG